CCUACGGGAGACAGCAGUGGGGGAUAUUGCACAAUGGGGGAAACCCUGAUGCAGCGACGCCGCGUGUGGGAAGACGGUCCUCUGGAUUGUAAACCACUGUCCCCAGGGACGAAGAUGACGGUACCUGGGGAUGAAGCUCCGGCUAACUACGUGCCAGCAGCCGCGGUAAUACGUAGGGAGCGAGCGUUGUCCGGAAUUACUGGGUGUAAAGGGAGCGUAGGCGGGACUGCAAGUUGGGUGUCAAAUCUACCGGCUCAACCGGUAGCCGCACUCAAAACUGCAGUUCUUGAGUGAGGUAGAGGCAGGCGGAAUUCCUAGUGUAGCGGUGAAAUGCGUAGAUAUUAGGAGGAACACCAGUGGCGAAGGCGGCCUGCUGGGCUUUUACUGACGCUGAGGCUCGAAAGUGUGGGGAGCAAACAGGAUUAGAUACCCUGGUAGUC
rnacentral:rRNA from 1 species